UCCCGCGUGGCACAAUUGGUCAGCGCGUGAGACUUUUAAAUCGGAAGAUGGGUAUCUCAAGGUUAGGAGUUCGAGCCUCCUCGCGGGAG